AUUGAACGCUGGCGGCAUGCUUUACACAUGCAAGUCGGACGGCAGCACAGAGAAGCUUGCUUCUUGGGUGGCGAGUGGCGCACGGGUGAGUAACAUAUCGGAACGUACCGAGCAGUGGGGGAUAACUAAUCGAAAGAUUAGCUAAUACCGCAUAUCUUCUGAGGAAGAAAGCAGGGGACCAUUUGGCCUUGCGCUGUUUGAGUGGCCGAUAUCUGAUUAGCUAGUUGGUGGGGUAAAGGCCUACCAAGGCGACGAUCAGUAGCGGGUCUGAGAGGAUGAUCCGCCACACUGGGACUGAGACACGGCCCAGACUCCUACGGGAGGCAGCAGUGGGGAAUUUUGGACAAUGGGCGCAAGCCUGAUCCAGCCAUGCCGCGUGUCUGAAGAAGGCCUUCGGGUUGUAAAGGACUUUUGUCAGGGAAGAAAAGGGCGGGGUUAAUACCCCUGUCUGAUGACGGUACCUGAAGAAUAAGCACCGGCUAACUACGUG
rnacentral:rRNA from 1 species